rnacentral:rRNA from 1 species
UACGAAGGGGGCUAGCGUUGUUCGGAAUUACUGGGCGUAAAGCGCACGUAGGCGGAUAUUUAAGUCAGGGGUGAAAUCCCAGAGCUCAACUCUGGAACUGCCUUUGAUACUGGGUAUCUUGAGUAUGGAAGAGGUAAGUGGAAUUGCGAGUGUAGAGGUGAAAUUCGUAGAUAUUCGCAGGAACACCAGUGGCGAAGGCGGCCUUCUGGACAGUGGACUGAACGCUGAGAUGCGAAAGCGUGGGGA